AAAAUUAUAUUUACUAAAUAAAAGUUUUUAAAAAAUUAAAAAAUGAUUUUUUAAGUUUUCUCAAUUUUAUUUUUAUUUAUAUGGAAUAAUUUUUGUAUAUACAUAUAUAUAAAUAUGCAGUACAGUAUAUUUUUCCAUGCUUGCAAGCAUCAUAUAAUAAUCAUGUCAGGAUAAUUAUGUUAUCCAUCAGUCAUCCCACACAUUUAUCAUUUGUUUGUUGUGAGACUAUUUCAAAGCCUUUUCUAGCCCUUUUAAAUAUUCAGUAUACUGUCAUUAACCAUAGUCACCUUAUUGUGUAUUGGAACACCAGAGCUUAUUCCUUUUAUCUAAUUGUGACUUUGUACUCACUGACCAACCCUUCCUGAUCUCCUCUUCCUUUUCCCUUCCCCAGUCUCAGGAAACCACUCUUCUAUUCUCUGAUUCUAGAAUAACUUUUAUAAGAUUCUACAUAAGAGUGAAAUAUUGUAGCACAUGUCUUUCUGCACCAGGUUUAUGUUACUUAACAUAAUGUUCUUUGGGUUAAUCCAUAUUGUCCCAGGUAGCAAAGUUUCAUCCUUUUUAUGACUGAAUAGUAUUCCAUUGUGCAUAUAUAUCACGGUUUAUGCAUUCAUCCAUGAUGGUCAUUUAAUUGAUUCUGUGUCUUGGCUAUUGUGAAUUGUGUUGAAAUGAAGAUUGCCGUGCAGGACCUCUUUCACACCAUGAUUAGAAUAUAUGAGGACACUUCAGAAAGUUCAUGGAAAAUAGAAUUAAAAGAUAAGUUAAUUUUUUGCAAAAUAUUUUAAAGUCAGGUAUGUUUUUCAUAAUAUACAUUUUCAAAGAACUUACUAUAUUUAUCUUGUGUACUCAGUAGUAGGAUUGCUGAAUCACAUGCCAGUGCUAUUUUUAAUUUUUGAGGACACUUCAUUCUCUUUUUCAUGAUGGCCAUACUAAUAAGAUGUCCAUUUUCUCUAUAUCUUUGCCAGUACUUGUUAUCUUUGAUUUCUUUGAUAAUAGCCAUUCUAACUUGGGAGAGGUGGCAUCUCAUUGGGGUUUUGUUUUAUAUUUCCCUUAUGGUUAGUGAUGUUGAGCACUUUUUACUAUACCUGUUGUCCAAAUACAUAUCUUCUUUUUGAAAAAUUUUUGUUAAGACCUUUUGCCCAUUUUUAAUUGAAUGAUUUGGUUUUUGCUAUUGAGUUGUUUAAGUUCCUUUUGUAUUUGGGAUAUAUAGUUUGUGAAUAUUUUCUCUCUUUAAAUGGGUUUUCAUUUAGUCUGCUGAUUAUUUCCUUUAUGUGCAGAAGCUUCUAAGUUUGAUGCAGUCCCACCCAUCAUUUUUUUCUUUUACUGCCUGUGUUUAUCCAUUUCAGUACACGUAUCUUAAAAGUAUUUUGUUACGUUUAUUCCUACACGUAUUUUUCUUUUUGAUACUAUUUUAAAUAAAAUUAGUUUCUGAGUUUUAUUUAUAGAUUGUUGAUAGAUAGUGUAUAGAAAUUAAAUUUAAUUUUUAUAUUGAUCAUAAUACUGCCACCUUGUGGAACUUUUUGUUUUUGGUUCUAAUGAUAUUUCAAUGGAGUCCAUAAAAUUUUCUAAACACAAAUUCAUUUUAUUUAGAAUUAGAUAUACUUUGCCUUUUUUAUUGUUAACACUGUAUAUUUAUUUUUCUGACCUAAUUGCCCUUACUGCAACUCUUAGAACAAUGUUGAAUAGAAGUGGCAAGAAGAGACAUCCUUGACUCAUGUCUUACCUUAGGGAAAGUGCUAAAGUUUUCAAGAUAAGCAUGUGAUGCUACAUGGAUAUUAUAGUGUGCCCUAUUUAUUUAUUUAUUUAUUUUAAAAGAUUUAUUUAUUUGUUUGAAAGUCAGAGCUACACAGAGAGAAGAGAGGCAGAGAGAGAGAGGUCUUCCGUCUGAUGGUUCACUCCGCAGUUGGCUGCAAUGGCUGGAGCUGUGCCAAUCCAAAGCCAGGAGCCAGGAGCCUCUUCCGGGUCUCCCACGCAGGUGCAGGGGCCCAAGGACCUGGGCCAUCUUCUACUACUUUCCCAGCCAUAGCAGAGAGCUGGAUCGGAAGAGGAGCAGCCAGAACUAGAACCAGUGCCCAUAUGGGAUGCCGGUGCUUCAGACCAGGGUGUUAAUCCACUGCGCCACAGCACUGGCCCCUGCCCUAUUUGUUUUUAAAGUUGUAUUUAUUUGAAAGACUGAGUGGCAGAGAUGUAGGAUGUCUUCCAUUCACUGCUUCACUGCCUAAAAUACCCAAAACACUUAGGGCUGGGCUCAAUUGGAGCCAACUGCUAGGGAGCGCCAUCUGGGUUUCCUGCUUGGGUAGCAAGGACUCAAGCUGUUGACUUUCAGGUGCAUCAGUAGGAGGACUCUAGGUACUUUAAUAUGGAAUAUGGGCAGACCAAGCAAUGCUUUGCUCUCUAUGCCACAGUGCCCACCCCUGGAUGCCCUGUUAGGUUAAGAAAAUUCUUUUCUAAACCUAACAAGCUGAGUUUCUAAAAUCAUGACUAUGUUUUGGAUUUGACAGACUUUUUUCUCUAUAUUUUGUUAUGAUCAUGUUUUUUUUUUUAAAUCUUUGUUGAUAUUGUAUAUUAUAUCAAUUGGUGUUGCAUGUUAAACCAAACUUACCUUCUUGGGAUAAAUUCCCUUAGUCAUAAUAUAUCAUCAUAGUUACGUAUUUCUUGGGUUUUCUUUUAGCGCUCUUUUGGAGAUUAUUUGCCUCUAUUUUGUAUGGCCUAUAGGUUUGUAAUUCUCUUUUCUUGUAAUGUUAUAAUGUAGUUGUAUUUCUUCCUUUGCUUUCUUCUCUUCCUUCUCCUCUUCCCCUUCUGUCUCCUUUUUCUUCUCUUCUCUUCUACUUUUUAAGGAGUUUGUGAAGUGGUAGAAUUCACCUGUUAACUCAUAUCUUGGACAGGAGAUGGAAUCCUAACAAGAGUCAACGAAUGUGAAAGGAAAUUCUUCUCCAUCUGGACCUUCAGUUGUGACCCUUCCUUGAUCAUCAUCCACAUAUUGAGUCCUGAACAAGAGAAGCCAUGAGUAAAUUGUGUGUGGUUUAGAGUCACUAAGCUUUGUUAUAGAUUUUUAUGCAGCGAUAAAUAAUGCAUCUGAUUUUAAAUGUAAUAUGGUAUCAUGGAUUUGAUCCUGAAAUAGAAAAAUUAUAUUAGGUGAAAACCUGGUAACAUAGGAAGAAAUUGUAUAGUUCAGUUACUGGAAAUGUAUCACUGAUAAUGUCCCAGUUUAUUAGGAAUACACUGUUUCUAUGUAAUUUAUUAGCACUACAUAAAGGUAAGGAUAAAUAAAACACUCUGUGAUACUUCUGAAACUUUGUGUGAAGCUAAAAUUAUUUUGAAGUAAACUUGUUUUUUAAAGAUGUUAAAUCAUUACAAAAUACUCCCCUAAACAUGUAAAUAAAAACCUCAACCUCAAAAGAUGAAUGGGCAUGUCGGUAGAGAACAGCAGAGCAGCUUUCCACUUCUUUCCUCUGCUUCAAACACAGUGGCACCUGCUUCAGGAAGACACCAUCAAGGUCCUUGGACUCUCUUUCUGGUCUUAUUCCUCAUUACACUGUAAUGCAGUCUCCACUUUAUUCCAUAAUGAAUUCUUUGGGACUUGGUAUUCUAUUGAUACCCACAUUACUAGAUUAUAUUAUCUUUUCUAAAGCCUAAACACCGCACAAUAGGUAUUGUUACAGUAGCAGGUAAGUAAUAUUCAAGUAGCUAAAGAUAUGUUAAUAUGGUAGUUGAGACACAUACGUGCAUGCAUAGAAGUGAAAUUUUGACACCAUGUUUUUGACAGGUUAAGACAAUUACAUGAUUGAGAAUAUGCUUCACGUAGUUGGAAAGUUCUUAUGCAUAAAAAAUGGUUUUUGUCCCAAGUGUUUGUGGCUUGGAAGGAUGGUAUUCAAUGUGAUGAUGUUAAAAGGUCAGGGGAGGGGUGAGGGCAGUGCUGUAGUGUAGUGGAUAAAGCCGCCACCUGCAGUGCCGGCAUCUCAUGUGGGCACCAGUUCAGGUCCUGGCUGCUCUACUUCAAAUCCAGCUCUCUGCUAUGGUCUGGGAAGUCAGUAGAGGAUGGACCAAGUCCUUGGGUCCCUGCACCCUCAUGGGAGACCCAAAAGAAGCUCCUGGCUCUUGGCUUCUUAUCUGUACAGCUCUGGCUGCUGCAUCCCACUGGGGAGUGAACCAUCGGAUGAAAGACCUCUCUUUCUUUGACUCUCUUCUCUCUGUGUAACUCUGACUUUCAAAUAAAUAAAUAAAUCUUUAAAAAAAAAAAAGGUGGUUGGAACUUUAGAAGGUUGAUCCUAGUGGGAAGUCAUUGGAAGUGUUGCAUUCAGAAUUAAGGUAGUUCUCUCAAGAUUUGGGGGAGUUCUCAAGUGAGACUGUCAUUACAAAGAAGUAGGUGUGGCCCCACCCUGCUUCUGGCUCCCUGGCACCAUGUGAUCUCUUUCUAGCAUACAUGUCUGUAGUGAUGACAGCCAUCAUGAUGUGAUGCAGCCUAAGGGACCUCUCACAAGAGCUGAAGCCAUGCUGGUUGGACUGUCAGGCCCCAAAAUUGUGAGCUAAAUAAACCCAUUUUCCAUAUACAACAUUGUGCCUGAAAAAAUGUUUUGUGAUAGCAGUGGAAAAUGGACAAAUUCAGAAAAUUAAAACCACCUGAAAAUGUGAAAGUUGCCUUUACAUUAGGUAAGGAGCAGAGAUUGAGAGAGGAAAAGCCUAGAAUUUCUGGAAUGGAACACUCCUGAUCAUUUUGGUGAGAGAUCAGAAGGUGAGGAGACUAGGAAAUGAUUCUAAAACAUAAGUGAGGAUUCUGUUGGAAAUUGUAAUAAAAGCUACACCUGUUAACCGCUGCAAAAAAUGUGGCUACAUUGGGUCCAUUCCCUAGAGAUUUUGGAAGGCAGAAUUUAAGCAUGAUUCACUGGUUUUUGGAGGGAGUUUCAAAACAGCAAAGUAUCUGUUUGUUCAAGGUUUAUGAGUUUUAUCAAAAACAUUUUCACUUUAUGAAUCUUUUCACAUCAAAUUAGUAGAUGUGAAUUUUCUUUGCCAGGUAUUGCUAUAAUAAAGGACCUUGGGCUUCAAUACUGUAUUCAAAGAAUGACAAGACUGGAUUUAUGAUAAUAUACACAUGUUUGUAUGUGCAUAUAUAUGUGUAUUUAUUUAUAAAUCCCUAAUUAUAUUCUAUUAGAGCUUUCGUAAUUAAUCAAAAUUUUUCUACACAUAGAAGGAAACAUAUACUACACAUGAACUACAUACUUUGUGGCAGUUAUGUACUGAAGGACAGAAGCAAGAUAAUUCCAAAAUUUGAAGUGAACAUUAGGUUUUCCAGGAAAACAAAUGGAGGAGAUAAGCCUUACUGUAUUUUUUCCUUUUUGAUGAAAAUUUGUAUUUUAUUGUUAGAAAUAGAAAGCUGUACUUAAAUUAAUUCAUGAUGUAGUAAUUUCAUCAAAUACAAACAAUAAAAUUCAUAGGGAAUGCCAGUUGAGUCUACAUUGAGUGAGUUAACAUAUUUAUACAUGUCAUUUCCUGUAUCUCUAUUGGGUAGUUAUUUGUCUUUUGAUUUUUGCUUGAUCAUGUCAUGUAAGCCUUCUCUAUUUUUUGGUUAGGGGUAAGAAUAAGGGGAUGAAGGUCAAGUACACCAAAAUAGCUUUUAUCUGUUUCUUUGUCUUUUUCAUCUGAGUUGCACCUGUAAUGCAAGCAUGGGAACCACGACUUGGUGAAAUAAUGAUGAUGCAUGGCAGUUCAGCCUUCCUGGGAGCUAGCAUGAUUACUCUCUCCUAUUUUUAUGCUGAUAUUAAGAAUGGCUUGAUGAAAUGGGCCACCUUCUUCUUCCGGACUUUCAGUUUCAUCUUUUCCACUCAGGAAGCUCAUCAAUACCUUUGCUGAACAACAACCUGAGAAUUCUUUGGAAAUAAAUGAGUCAGUAGCAGAGUUCAUGACAUUGUUCAUAUCUCUCACACAUUAUUGUCCUUUACUGUUUCAGGUGCAAUGUCUUGUAAACCAUUGUUUCACAUAGUUUUCAAUGUUUUAUUUUUAGCAUAGGUAAGGCAUAUUCAGUCAUUAUUAAUUUUCCUACAACAUUUUUGUUCAUUCCUCAAACAAUAAUUACUGUAACCCUGUUAUUAUAGUUCCAGUUGGAAAUAUCAAGGUGAAUGAGGCAGGAAGAAUGGAAGUAACAAUCAAAGGGAAAGACAUGUGAACUGCCAUUUGUAACACUGAAGAGGAAGUGAGAAUUGUUCUAUGCACAGGUUCUCUAGGAGUCUUUAUAUGGGUCACCCACAUGUAUGUUAAGAUGAAUGUAAAAUAUAGUAUCUCUGUCAAUUAGUAUAUACACAAUUGCCUCACUUUAUUGAAAAAGUCCUUCUGUAAUCCUAAGAUCAUAAUUCACAUAAAAAUAAAAUAUUGAUAUUAACUCAUAAAUGAAUUCAUAGAUAUCUUGCCAUUCUGAUUCUGCUUAUUCUCAAUAAUAGCUGAUCCAGAGUCAAGGAGAUCAUCACAUCCCCAUCUGUGGCAGGAAGACUGAGAGCAAGACGCAUUUCUCAGCAAAAGGGGCUGCACCAUUGGCUUGUGCUCUCCACCUUUGCUACUGGCACAUAUUCUGAACAGGUUGAUAAACUCAGUAAGGAUGCUACCACCAGAGACUGAACCAGUGGAGUCAACCCAGUCCGGAACUGUGAAACCUGUGAAACUCCAGAACCCUGAACCACAACAAAACUUUCAGGUUUAAUUUACCAGUGAAAUCACCUAAACCUGGGAGGGAAUUGAGUCCUCACAACAGUUCUAUGAGCUCAUAAAAUGAUUUCUUCUUGUCAUGAACCAUCACCAAAGACCUUAGAUAUGGCCAUUUAUCCAAGAAGCUUAUUGUGUUCCAAAUGUCAAGAGGAGAGGAUUAGAAAAUGAAGUUGUAUGAACAACAUGUGAGGAUCAUUAGUCACCACAUUAAGGGAACUGAUUCCUAAUUCAGCUGAUCUUGGAAGAGCUUCCAUUGAAUGCUUUACUGUGGCAUUCAUCCGCACUGUCUUCCUAACCUAGAGAUAGUAUUACAUCAAGAAUAUUUCAGGACAAUGUAUUCUGUUGAAACUCACAUUGUGGAAUUCUGUUAUCCCCGCCAAAGUCAGAGGCCCCAGAAAUCUGUCAUGGUGCAAGAUAAUCUGAGUACAAAACAUCAAAAAAGUCUGUAGGCAUACAGUUAUAUGACCAGUAUCAGCUUACACUGAUUUGGAAAUUAAUUUUAGACAUCAGGUAUGGCAUCAGAGCCAGCUGGCAUUUAUAACUGUCCUCCCAACUUCACGUGAUUGUGGAGACCUCAGUUUGGGUCAUCAUCUACAUUUGGACUCUUCACCCAGAGAUACUGUGAGAAAUACAUGUGGACAUGAGUGAUUAAGAAAUCUUCUUUCACAUGAGACAAAGAACUGAAGUUGUCUUUUCUCCACCACUGUUUUAGCUGUAACAUUUUUGGUGCCAUGACUCAGAUCGGACUCCAACAUGACCAGGAUCCAGUUCGAAUUCAACUCUAGCCAGCAUCAGAUCGCCUCACUGGACAGAUAGUUUGAAGAAAGGAAUUUAGAGUUCCAAAAAUUUCCACAGGGUUGUCAAUUUCGUGGGGGCACUUUUCCAGGUCUGCAAGUCCAGUGAUGAAUCUGAUCCUAUUGAAAUUGAAGCAUCAAAACAAAAAAGGCAUCAAUGAUAUUUGUUAAAGCAUGCCUAUAUGAGUGGAAGUUAGAAGUCAAAAUUUCCUGAACAUACUGCUCCACCAGAAUUUCCUCCAUAGGUUUUGCUGCCACUUUUACCAGUCACUGAAGGCACUUUUUUCUUAUCACUACAUGUUGAAAAGAUCAGAUUCCUACAUUGAAUAUUAUUGGCACCCUUGUCAAAUCAUUUGACUAUAUUUGAUGGUUUGUUUUGGGCCUUCUAUUCCAUUGAUCUCUAUGUUUUACAUUAUGCUAACAUUGGUAAGUCUUUCAUAAGUCUUAUUAUGAUUUUAAUUUAUAGUUUAGAAGUAUAUUAUAUAUACAUUUGAUUAUAUUAUAAACAGGUAUGUUUUUUAAAAGAUUUAUUUAUUCAUUUGAAAGCCAGAGUUACACACAGAGAAAAGGAGAGGCAGAGAGAGAGAGAGAGAGGUCUUCCAUCCGAUGGUUCACUCCCCAGCUGGCUGCAAUGGCCGGAGCUGUGCUGAUCCAAAGCCAGGACCUUCUUCCGGGUUUCCCAUGUGGGUGCAGGGGCCCAAGGACUUGGGCCAUCUUCCACUGCUUUCCCAGGCCAUAGCAGAGAGCUGGAUCGGAAGUGGAGCAGCCAGGACUAGAACCAGCACCCAUAUGGGAUGCCAGCGCUUCAGGCCAGGGCAUUAACCUGCUGCGCCACAGCACUGGCCCCAAACAGCUAGGUUUUUUUACUUUGAAAUUCAUCUUCAGCAAUUCUCAGUUUAUACAACUUUUUAUGAAGAAACUUUGGUUAUGUCUGGACAAAGGAACACAUUUUUACUUGUUAGUAAAAUCACCUCCACUGUUCAAAUACUCAGCUAUUGUGCUCAGGUUGCAAGAUGUCAAGAGACAGUGAAGUAUAUAAAAGGUGCUUUACAGAAGUCUAGAUGGCUAGGAGUUUUUCCUUACUGAAAUGUGGGGAAAACUUACUGAGAUAUUGAGUUGGUAACAUCAAAGGAGUAUAAGCAGAAACGUAGUAAGAAAGCUAAAGAAAACGUAAAGGGCACAACAAGGCUGUGGUUUACCUUAAACAUAGACUUUCACAUCCGUUGAAAGUCCUGGGUUUCUUGCUAACUGGUUACUGAAAGGAGCACCUUUGUUUUUCCAGCCGUAGUUCAGUGCCAUUAGGCAUUUGCCUUGAAGCAUGAUGGCUAUUUCUCAGCCAUGGCUAUCAUGGUUUAGGGUUGUCCUCCCAGAUGAAUAUUAAACAUUAAUGUUUUUACUAGGAUGCUUGUUACUUGUUCCAGGUCUCUGUGUAUAAUCAGUUUUAGUUUUGAUAAUAGGAAGAAAAGGAGGGUAUCACCACUACCUAAUACAGUGCUCUGUACCUGGGUUAUCUUUUACUUUUAAAAUUUUAUUCAUAUAAAAGGAAGAAAUUUCAUGUAUUUCAUAUUUAUAGUUUUUAAGAACAUAGUGAUACUUCUCAUGCUACCUUCUCUCCCUCCCUCCCUCUCCCUUACUACCACCCUCCUUCCUCUUUCCUUUCUUAUUUUUCUUUUAAUUUUUUCAAUGACAUACUUUCAAUUUACUUUAUAAUCACAAGAUUAAUCCUGCACUAAAUAAAGAAUUCAAUAAAUAAUAAGUAGAAAAACCAGUUUCUCAGGAGUAUGGACAAGUGCUAUAAACAAUAAUCAAAUCUCAAAAUGUCAAUUUCACUCAUAUACAUUACUUUUUUGUACUCCAUAUAUUAGCUACCACAAAUAAAAUAUAUAUUUGUGUUUUGGGGAAUGGCUUAUUUCACUACACAUAAUUAUUUCUAAUUGCACCAUUUUGUUGUGAAAGACAGGGUUUCAUUCUUUUUUAUGGCUGAGUAGUAGUCCAUCAUGUGUAUAUGUACCAUAAUUUCUAGCAUUUCUACUGUGACUUGUAGGAAUAAAUGCAAUGAGAAAGAUUGUUAGUCAUGUUAUUCUUAACAGGAUUCUUGACAACAUUUAUUCUGCAGAGCAAGCUCAGCAACCCUUUUCUCUAAAAGGCACAUCAGUAUGUGUGUGUGUGUGUGUGUGUGUGUGUGUGUUUGAGGAAGAGGAUACUGGAUUCUGGCAAGUUCAAAAUUUUAGAGUAAACUGGCAAUCUGAGGACUGAGAAAAGACUAGGAGGAAUGAGUCUGAAAAUUCCCUUUCUCAGUGACCCAAGUCUGUUUUCUCUUUAGGAAGGCCUACAACUGAUUUAAUGAGGCCCUCCUACAUUAUGGGUGGUAAUCUGCUUUGCUCAAAAUCUACGGACUUAAAUGUUAAUCUCACCCAAAGAAUGUAUUCACGGUAAUAUCCAGGCUAAUUUUGACCAAAUAGACACUAUAGCCCAGCCAAGCCAACACAUAAAAUAUACAUCACCAGUUCAUCCAUUGUCAAUAUGGCUCCCACAUGCAGCUCCUUAAACCAUUCUCAAUCUCCGAAUUAAAAUACUAACAAGAUCAUACAUGAUUUAGAGCAUCUACAGUCUCCAGGGCAUCUUGCUCCAGCCCUAAAAGAUGUUAGUACAUAGGGCUGGUAUUGUGCCAUAGCAUUUUAGUGCAAAAAAUUUCAAAAUCAUGUAGUUUUUAAUAAUAUACUUUUUCCAUGAGCAGUUUGAAGAUCCCUUUUAUGAAUGAAUUUCAAAAUAUUUACACCAAGGUAAACUUAACUUUUAAUACUGUUUUCUCUGAGUUUCUUUGAAGUACCCUUGUACAUGUUUACCCAGAACCUUGCCUCAUCAUUAUUUGGUUUGGAGUAUCCAAUGGUGAUAUUUGUGUGUAUCUGUUGCACAUCCCAUCAUGGAUUAGCAUAUUAUUUUUACUCCUGGAAAUGGUCAUUAGUGUCUUUAAAUCUAGUCAGAUUAGAGUACUAAUUCCAGAAAUCCCAGAACUAAUUCAUAAUAUUUAUAUUUUGGUUUCUCUAGUAGCAUUUGUGUUAAUCUGUGUCAGGGUUUUCUAAGGAAACAGAAUGAAUAGGUUGUGGAUAUAACCUCUCUCCUUCUCUUCAUUUAUUUUAAGGAGUUGACUCAUUGUUAAAACUGGCAGGUUUAGGGGCUGGUGCUGUGGCGCCAUGGGUUAAAGCCAUAGCCUGUCACACCAGCAUCCCAUAUAGGCACUAGUUUGAGUCUUGAUUGCUCCUUUUCUGAUCCAGCUCUCUGCUGUGGCCUGGGAAAGCAGGAGAAGAUGGACCAAGUCCUUGGGCCCCUGCACCCGUGUGGGAGACCUGGAGGAAGCUCCUGGCUCCUGGCUUCAGAUCGGCUCAGCUCUGGCAGUUGCAGUCAUUUGGGGAGUGGAUCAGUGGAAUGGAAGACCUCUCUCUCUUUUUCUCUGCCACUCCUUCUCUCUCUGUGUAACUUGAUUUUGAAAUAAAUAAAUAAAAUGAUUCUUUAAAAAAAAAAAACUGGCAGGUCUAAAAUCUACAGAGCAGAUGAAAGACCCAGAGAAGAGAUGAUGUGGCAACUGUAAAUCAAAGGCAGAACUUUAGUUUCCUAAAGGUCUUUCUUCUGUUUUCUCAUAAAGCUUUCCAUUGACUGGAUGAGGCCCAAGCCCCACCUGUUUUAUGCAGGGUAAACCGAUUUACUAAAUCUAGUCCAAAUGUCCAUGGCUAUGUUCCAAUAGCUAUUUAUAGAUGCUGAAAUUUGAACUUCAUAUAAUUUUUACUUGUCAUAAAAUAAUAUUUUGUUUUUAUCCUUCCACAGCACCAAUAAUUAUAAAAAUAUUAAAUAAUUACCAUCUGACAGGACCAUAUUUCGGGGUAGCAGGUUCUCAACUCCUUGAGUAGGGCAAUGUUAAGAGCUAAUACACUGGAGCCAGAGUGAUGGGCUUGAAUCUCAACCAGUUGAGAGCUAUACAACUUUGAGUAUGAUUUUUAUGUAUUUAUUUAUUUGAAAGAGUUACACAGAGAGAGAAGGAAAGGCAGAGAAUGAAAGGGGAGGGGGGUCAUCCAUCCGCUGGUUCCCCAAUUGGCCACAAUGGCCAGACCUGUGCUGAUCUGAAGCCAGGAGCUUCUUGUGGGUCUCCCACACAGGAGCAGGGGCCCAAGGACUGGGCCAUCUCCUACUGCUAUCCCAGGCCAUAGCAGAGAGCUAGAUAGGAAGAGGGGCAGCCAGGAUUUUAACUGGUGCCCAUAUGGGAUGCCGGCACUUCAGGCGGCAGCUUUACCCGCUAUGCCACAGCACUGGCCCCUGAGUAUGAUUCUUUACCUCUCUGGACCUGACUUUCCUAAUAUGUGAAAGAGAUAAAGAAGAGAACUAGCUCACUUAGCUGUUGAAUGGAUCAUUAUUUUUUUGAAGAUUUAUUUAUUUUAUUUGAGAGAGUUAUACAGAGAGGGAGAGAGGGAGAGGGAGGUCUUCCAUCCACUGAUUCACUCCCCAGUUGGCCACAAGGAGCUGUGCCGAUCUGAAGCCAGGAUCCAGGAGCUUCUUCCAGGUCCCCCAUGCGGGUGCAGGAGCCCAAGGACUUGAGCCAUAUUCUACUGCUUUCCCAGGCCAUUUCAGAGAGCUGGAUCAAAAGUGGAGCAGCCAGGCUGAACCAGUGCCCAUAUGGGAUGCCCGCACUGCAGGCAGCAGCUUUACCCACUAUGCCACAGCACCUGCCCCCAAUCACUAUUUUUUUUAAAGAUUUUUAAGAUUUAUUUAUUUACUUAUUUGAAAGACAGAGAGAGAAAAGGAAAGAUAGAGAGAUAGGUCUUCCAUCUGCUAGUUCAUUUCCAAAAUGGCCACAGUGAUCAGGGCCUGGGCCAGGCUGAUGCCAGCAGCUUCAUCUGGGUCUCCUACAUGAGUGUAGAGGCCCAAGUACUUAGACCAUCUUCUGCUGCUAUCCCAGGCACUUUAGCAGGGAGCUGGUUCAGAAGUGGAGCAUCAGGACUGGCACUGUGGUGUAGCAGGUAAAACUGCUACCUGGAGAGACAGCAUCCCAUACAAACACCAGUUUGAAUCCUGGCUGCUUCACUUCCUAUCUAUCUAUCUUCUAAUGCAUCUGGGGAAGCUGUGGAAGAUAGCCCAAGUACUUGGACUCCUGCAUCCAUGUGGGAGACCUGGAGGAAGCUCCUGGCUUUGGCUUGGCCCAGUCCUGGUUAUUUGGGGACUGAACCAGUGGAUGGAAGAAUCUCUCUCUCUCUCUCUCUCAAUCUCAAUCUCAAUCUCACACACACACACACACACACACACAGCCUUUCAAAUAAAUCUUAAAAAAUAAAACAAUGAAAUGUAGCACCUGGGACUCAAACUAGCACCCAUCUUGGAUACUGGUAUCACAGACCAGGGCUUACCCAGCUACACCACAGUCCUGGCCCCUGUAUGGGCUGCUGUUAAAUUAUCCAGAAAAGUAUUUUGUCUAGAGAAAUAGGCAGGGUAUGUGCGUGUACAAGUAAAUGAAAAAAAAAAUAAAGAUAGCUGCUCACAUAUUAUGUAAUUUUUAAAAUCUGUUAUUUAUUUUUUAUUGUGGGAGGGAGACAGAGAGAGAUACUGAGAUCCUGUCUCUGGUUCACUCCCCAAGUGUCCACAACAAUUCUGGGCCAGCCUAGGCAGAAACCAGGAAGCUGGAGAUCAGUUUAUCUCCCAGGUGAGUGGCAGAGAUCUAAGUACUUGAGCCAUCACCUGCUGCCUUCCAGGGUAUACAUUAGCAAGAAGCUUGAAUGGAUAGUGGAUCCAGGAUUCAAACUCAGGUGUUCUCAUAUGGGAUGCAGGCAUCCCAAGGUUUCAAAUGAUGGCUUAACUGCUGUGUCAAACACCUGGAAUGCAAAUUUCAAACCAUCUAGUCUUUAAAGUCUUAUGACCUUAUAUUUAUGCUUCUGAAUUUUUAAAAUUAUAUAUUAAAUAUAUUUUCCAUGAAUUUAAUAUUUACAUGUGUGUAUAACUACAUAUAUCUAUCUGUGAGUGGCUGGCAGACAGAUAUACAGUACUUCCACACACUAGUUUAAUCUCCAAUUGCCUGAAAGGGCCAUGGCUGGAAUAGGCUAAAUGGAGCCAGGAAUUCAAUCCAGGUCUCCACCUGGGUGGCAGGGAUCCAACUACUAGAGUCAUCAUCUGCUGCUUCCCAGGGCUCACCUUAACAGGGAGCUGGAAUCAGGAGCUGGAGCCUGGAGUCCAACCCAAGUACUCUGAUAAAGGACUAAUUGGUAGGCUAAAUGAUUGCCAUUAAAUUUUUAAAUAUAUCAUAAAAAGGCUUAAGUCCCUCUAAAGUAUUGUUUGCAUUGUUGUUGCCUACAUCACAUAGGUUUUUAAGGUUUAAAAUAAAUUCACAAGAGCCUCAAAUUUAUUUGUGUCUUAUAAUUGGUAUGCCUUUUAUAUUUGUUUUGGUAUAACACAUUAGAAUAUAACUUAAAUAAGUAUUUUAGUAAGUAUAAUUGUUUCAUUUUUUAAUUUUAAAAAUAUAUUUAUUUAUUUAAAAGGGUAGGGGAGAGAGAAAUCUUCCAUCUGCUGGUUCACUGCACAGAUGACUGUAAUGCCCAGGGCUGGGCUAGGCUGAAGCCAGGAGCUUUUUCUAGGUCUCUGAAGUGAUUAGCAGGGGCACAAGCACUUGGGUGUCCCUCUGCUCCUUUUCCCAUACAGUUAGCAGGGAGCUGUAUCCAAAGCAGAACAGCUGGGCCUCAAACCAGCGUGUAUAUGGGAUUCUGGCAUUGCAGGUGGCAACUUAACCCAGUUAGCCAAAAUACUGGCCCCAUUAUUUUAAUAUUAGUUGAAAUGUUAUUUAAGAUCAGUAUUGUGUUUUAAAGACUCUUCCACAAAAAGUACUAUUGGCAGAGAAAGUGGACUGGGGAUUGUUUGGGGACCACAAAUGAAAUUUUACUAUCAUUUAUAUUUAAAACCUAACCUGAUUUUCUAUUUUGUUUUACAUGUAGUUGUAUAUCUUUUAUGAUAUUUUUUCUGCCUCCAAAAGGCUCUUUACAGCCGGCAGCAUGACUUACUUGGUUAAUCCUCCGCCUGCCGUGCCGGCAUCCCAGCAUCCCAUACGGGUGCCAGAUUCUAGUCCCUGUUGCUCCUCUUCCAGUCCAGCUCUCUGCUGUGGUCCAGGAAGGCAGUGGAGGAUGGCCCAAGUGCUUGGGCUCCUGCAUCCGCAUGGGAGACCAGGAAGAAGCACCUGUAUCCUGGCUUCAGAUCUGCAUAGCUCUGGCCGUGGCAGCCAUUUGGGGAGUGAACCAACAGAAGGAAGACCUUUCUCUCUGUCUUUCUCUCUCUCACUGUCUAUUAUAACUCUACCUGUCAAAUUAAAAAAAAAAAGGCUCUUUACCCACGUAGCAGUAUGUGUUAUUUUCAUUCCUGGGCUGAACUUUGUAUGCUGCCAAAAACUAAGAAAAUACAAAGGAAUUUAUAUGAUUCAAAAGAUUCCAAUCUACCAUUACAUUUUAGACUAGAAUUUCUUAAUGUUGAAUCAGUGUUUGAGAAUUUAAUAAAAGCUUAGAGUAGAAAUCUUCUAAAUCAUUCAAUCUUUUCCUCUAGAGUGGACCUAUUUUCCUAUGAAAAUUUAGACUAUAUUUGAAGCUAUUAUUUACCUAUAUUGUACAAAAAGCAAAAAAAUUAAAAGACAAUGCUGUAAGAAUUGUACAUCAUGCCCAACUAGAAUUUCAGUGGAGCAGAAUGUCUGUGUUUAAGGCCUAAAGAUUUUGAGGUUAGAAUCCAGCCAUUGUCUUCUGGCUCUUUUUGAAUGUUUUCCAUUGUUUGUCUUUCCUUAGUCAAAAUUUCCUGAUGGUAGACAGUGUUUGAGAAAACCACUGCAUUGCAAAGUAGGGAGCCUGGGAAAUCCCACGAUGUGCAGAUUUAGUUAUGCAAGACCCAAAGGUGGAAAGGACAACUUUGGUAUAGAGAAUUAUACCCAGUUGAGAACUACAGCAAGUUCACAGUAGGGAUAUCAUAAAGAGCAAAUAUUUCAUAAUUCCUGGGCAUACUUGCACUUUUAAAAAAAAAUGCACCUUAUUAUAGACUCACUAUUUAUUGAUUGAUUUUUCUUUU